CACACACAAAGGAGAGAAGGGAUGGCAGAAAAAGGAAAGAUAGAAUCGGAUCGAAACGAGAAUCGAUUUAUAUUUGAUCGAUCGCCCGUCCCUUUUUUCGCUCGUUCGUCGUUCGUUCGAGCCCCGACACGUUGUUCGAUCGGAUCGAACGAUACGAACGAGACGAGAACAAUAAACGAGGAAAGGCGCGAGAUGAAAUUUAUGGCAUGAAAGUAGCCUCUCUUAAGUAGCUCGUUAAUAGAAUUAUGCUAGAUCGAUACAGGGAUGGCGAGUAUCUGCAGCACUCUCUUUCCAACGCAUUUUUUCCUUCCCUCCAAAUGUAAUAGAUUUGACGGUGAUCCACUUUCAUCGAAUUUGGCCGUUCGAAUACCUCCUUGCAUUUCAUCGGUCUCGUUGAAUCACAACUAUUUUUCCAAUUCGUUCCGCUUCGAUUGAAUUUUAAAACGAAUGAACGAGUUUUGAAUUAAGGGAAUUUCUUGUUGUAUCAAUAAUAAAAUGUAAUGGUUUCGUGUAAUAUUGCGUUGAAUCUUGUAUAUUUAUGAAUUGGACGAUUCUGUUUUGUCCGUUCCUGUUUUUUGAACCGUGUUCUGCGUCGACACGGUGAGGUUAAAAUAAUGAAGGAUACAUCUGUAUACGUAUACUCUUCUUCAUUCCUCUAUUGAAUGCAUUCUUUCUUGCUAUAUUCUUCAUUUCAAUCAAAUUAUUUCGUAAUCUAUUCGUGGUCACGUUAUAUAAAGGUAUAUCUUUACGUAAAAUUAUUUAAAUGAAAAAAUACAAUGUUAUAAUUACAGAUUAGGUAACUCUUGUUUAGAAGGAAAAAAUGGAAAAAAAUAAGGAAACUGAUCAUCGUGAGAGAUAAUAUCGUAAUUACAGAUUAUUAAAUAAGUAAUUUAAAUAACAUAACCUUUAAAAAAAAGUGAUAAAGAUUAAUUCUAGUUGCAACAUUAAAUCUUUAUAAUCCUACAUUUAGUUUGAAUAAUCAAAAAAUAAAUAGAAAAUAAUAUUCGUACUUUAACAAUAACGAAAUUGAACAGAAAAGUAACAUUUAUACUUACAAAUUUCAUAAAUAUAUUCUUUGAAUAAUGAUAUACAUUCCUGCAGUACAAAUGAAAGGGAAAAAAAUGAUGAUGCAAGUUCGAUCGCAAUCCUAAACUGUCCAACGCUUUCCAUUUGUAAUCAUGGCUGCAGAAAAAUCGUGUCGUUAGAUAUCACGUGAACUCGAGUACGAGCCCUUAGGGUUAAUGCUGUUUGUUCGCGCGCAAAGAGAAAGGAGCUUUGCAUUUUUCUAUCCUCCUCUCUUGUGCCAUUUGUUAGUCUCCUUGAUAGAGGAGCGUAAAGAAAAACUCGGCGAAUAUUUCCACUUUCCUCCACUUUGCGCACUGUUCCUUCGACAGAGAAUGAAAAUUAUGAACAUAAAUAAAUAUUAGGUGUGCAAGUAAGAUCCUUUUUCUUUUUUCUACGAUCGUGACUUCUCACCGAAUUCCAAUUACUUUACCGUUGGUAGCGCCAUCUGAAAAAGCGUUCUUUUGUUUUCAAGAAGAGUCGCGACGAGCGCUUCAAGAGUUUUCAGUCGUGCAACAAUUUUAAGCAAUAUGGCGAGGAGCGUCAUACGCGUUACUGUUUCCUUUUUGUCUCCUAAGCAUUCCAGCUUAGGAGAUCGGCUGUUGAAGCUACUGAAAUGAUUUGUGCGCAGCAUUAGGAGAGAAAUCUUACAGAAUGUGCGAAAAGUGAUAGUAAAGAUUCAAAGCUGGAAAUUUUAAUUUGGAAGACGACGAUCGUUCAGGUGCAUCGAGAAAGUUCUACAACGGUGAGUUAGAAAAAUGGUGGCUCAAUGCGAGAAGAAAGAUUGGAAGUCACCGGAAAAGCGAUGAUUUUCUAUAUUGUUCUUUGAGCCUCAUUAUGGUAUUUUUCUCGACUUUUACUUUUCAUCUCUUUUACUCCUUCUCUAGCAAUAGUAAUAGAAUUUCACAAUCAAAUCAUGAAAUUAUCGUUAAUUCAUUAUUUAAUCUAAUCUAACCUAACCUAAAUCUGAACUUUUCGCGAUACGAAAACACUUACGAUUGGACAUUUACGAAGCAAUUUUCUGUUGGAACUUUUCACUGAAGACAAUAUAUGAUGAAAGAAGGAUUCAAUGAUAUAUCAAGAAUGUACGAAAAAUAGAAUCUUGCGAUAUAAUUUCGCAAUCGAGGCGUAAACGAACGAAUGGAUGGAAACGAGAAUGUAAAGGCGAAGGAUUGCCUUUUUCCUUGCUGUUGCUCGUGAUGGCGCGCAGUUGCGCGUAAUUUUUAUUAGCGUUAUUAGCGUUACAACAGAGUCAACAGGGAACGAAAAAUUAAUUGGUUGAAAUUUCGAAUAAACCUGCUUUAUUUAUAAUCGCUUUGACCGCACUCCCACGUGCAAUGCAGCAUGCGUAUUAAAAUACGCGAUAUAUUCGCUCGACGUAAUCGUUAUGAAUUGAUAAAAAUGCAAAAUACGUUUGUUCAACGAACGUAUACAAAGACGAUGCAGGCUGAUGCUGCAAGGAUAAUAGGAAUUUUUGAGAGAAGAAUUUGAAAGGAUCCUUCGAAUUGUAUAUAUUUGUUAGAAACAAUUCGGCGUGGCUGGAGUGUUCCUUGGGACUUGAGACGAUAUUUUCCAGCCAUCGACGGCAAUCAGAGUCAUUCUUGAGGGGAAUUAUUGCUAAUACUCCUCAGUUUCCUGGAAACAGCGGACUCUGAGGGCGAUGUAGCCCCUCACUCUCAUUCUAGAAUUUACUUUAGAUCGAGGAUGCUCAAUCAGGGAACCGGUCCACGAUGUUAUUGGUCGCUUGUGCACCUUAUUGAAAACCUUGAUCUCGCGACUGAGCAUGGAGGAGGUUUUAAAGGAACGUUUUGAGAGAAAUGAAUUUUGGAACCCUGUUAAUGUUGAAACUUUUUGAAUUUUAGAAUUGAUCUUAGAACUGAUCUUGAACUUUUUCAACUUUAGAAUUGUUUGAAUCUCAGAACCUUUUUAAUAUCAAAAUCAAAUUAAUAAUUAAAUUAAAUUGAAUUCAAAAUCCUUUUGAAUUUCAAAAGGAAGGACUUUUUGGAUCUUAGAACUCUUUCAAUUUUAGAACUCUUUGAAUCAUAGAAUCCUUUCAACAUCAAAAUCUUUUGAGCUUCAAAAUCGUUUGGACCUUUUUGAAUUUUUCAACUUCUCACAAAUUAAUAAUUAAAUUAAAUUAAAUUCAAAAUCCUUUUGAACUUCAAAACUCUUUGGAUCUUAGAAUCAUUCUUUCAAUUUUAGAAUUGUUUGAACCAUAGAAUCCUUUCAACAUCAAAAUCUUUUGAGCUUCAGAAUCGUUUGAACUUUUUUCAAUUUCUCACAAAUUAAUAAUUAAAUUAAAUUAAAUUCAAAAUCCUUUUGAACUUCAAAACUCUUUGGAUCUUAGAACUCUUUCAAUUUUGAACCAUAGAAUCCUUUCAACAUCAAAAUCUUUUGAGCUUCAGAAUCGUUUGGACCUUUUUCAACUUCUCACAAAUUAAUAAUUAAAUUAAAUUAAAUUCAAAAUCCUUUUGAACUUCAAAACUCUUUGGAUCUUAGAACUCUUUCAAUUUUAGAAUUGUUUGAACCAUAGAAUCCUUUCAACAUCAAAAUCUUUUGAGCUUCAGAAUCGUUUGGACCUUUUUCAAUUUCUCCCAAAUUAAUAAUUAAAUUAAAUUAAAUUCAAAAUCCUUUUGAACUUCAAAACUCUUUGGAUCUUAGAACUCUUUCAAUUUUAGAACUGUUUGAACCAUAGAAUCCUUUCAAUAUCAAAAUCUUUUGAGCUUCAGAAUCGUUUGGACCUUUUUCAACUUCUCACAAAUUAAUAAUUAAAUUAAAUUAAAUUCAAAAUCCUUUUGAACUUCAAAACUCUUUGGAUUUUAGAACUCUUUCAAUUUUAGAACUGUUUGAACCAUAGAAUCUUUUCAACAUCAAAAUCUUUUGAGCUUCAGAAUCGUUUGGACCUUUUUCAACUUCUCCCAAAUUAAUAAUUAAAUUAAAUUAAAUUCAAAAUUCUUUUGAACUUCAAAACUUUUUGGAUCUUAGAACUCUUUCAAUUUUAGAAUUGGAGAACCAUAGAAUCCUUUCAACAUCAAAAUCUGUUGAGCUUCAGAGUCGUUUGGACCUUUUUCAACUUCUCACAAACUUCAGAAAUCUUUCAACAUCACAACUUUGGAACUGUUCGAAUCCCAGAGAAGCCUUUCAAAACCAGAAUUAUAAAACCCUGUAAAUUUAUUAAAUGUAAAUGUAAACCUUCAUUAGCAUACGAACUUUGCUCUUGAUUUAAAAUAGAACUUCAUCAAAUUUCGUAAUAAAUCAAAUUUCACUCGCCGCUCAUAGCUCCAUAGGAAACAGGUUGGUGCUUACCAAUUUAUCCCUAGCUGUAUAAUUAACCUCCGCCCCCCCAGUUCGACUCGGCUUCGAAUAAUCAAUUAUUUAUCAAAGCACGUUAAAAUCACCCGUAUAAGCAACGGGGGCAAGGAAAAGAGGAGUGGGAGCAAGCAGAGCAAGCCGACGGUAGGAUGCCGAACCAUCUGUCCGCCAUUUCUACGAGCAUCGACGACGAGUGCUUCUCACCCCUUGCUUCCCGUAUUCUAUAUAACCAACCUGUCCGCCAUUUAUUCCAAACGUAUUCUCUCCGCCGAGUGUACAUUGUUGCACAACUACGCCUCUCGAAAACGACGACGCCCCCCCCCUCUCCUCUCUCCCCUCCCCACCCAUCCCCACCCAGCCAUCUCCUCCUCGAGGCGGUUCGCCUCAUUGUUGGAUUCUCUGGACGAAAUUGCGAUGGGAUUUGCGUUAUCAUCCAUUAGAGGGAAGAGACCCUAUACACGGCCAAGUCUUCGCAGCCGCUUCAACGGGGAUUAUAAUAAUCCGAGGGAUAGUUGGAGGGGGAGGACGGAAGGAUCUUUCGCGCGAAAACUUAUUAUUAGUUUAUUAUUAUUACGCUAGGCGGUGUGUCGUUCCGUUUCUCAUUCGCUCGUUCGCGACUCGGAUGAGAUGGUUUCGAAUCGAAACGAUUAUAUAUAUAUAUAUUUAUUCCGAAUUGUACGAAAAAUCUCGAAAAAUCUUCUUGCGAGCGAAUGGAGCGAGAAUGCAUGGCGGAGGAAGAAAAUUAGAGAAAUUCGUGAAAAGGGAUUGAAAACGGUGUUCCAUCGAUUUAUCUCGUUCGAGGGGGGAGGGGGGAGGGGGUUUGCUGCGAACUAUUUUCUCGAAACUUUUCACCCUCGUUUCCUCUGUUAAGGUGUUCGUUCGGUUUUCGAGGGAAAAAGAAGAAGAAGAAGAAGAGGAAGGGAAAAAAAGGUUUUUCAUCAUCACGGAUUCGCAGAAAAUUUCGCGAAGGAAAACACGCGAUUCGAUCCAUCUCGUUAAGCGAGUUAGGGAUUCCGUCAGGGAUUCCCCUUCCUCUUCCAAGGAUUUUAAAAACCGGUCCCCCAACGAAAGCAUUUUUCCCUUUUUUUUUUUUUUUUCCCCUCCCCUUUUUUUAGGAAAAUUUGAUGCCACCGGGCGAGCCUGCUAGGAUUAAUCUCGCCUUCUCGGGAUUUUAUCGUGGCGGAGCUUUCAUAGACGAAAGCUUGGUUCACUCUCGGAUUAAAGAAAACUCGACUGCGAAAGGGGGAUUUGGGAUGAUAAAAAUUUUUCACAAAAAAUUCUCCAUCAAAUCUUCUCGAAAAUCCGCUCAGGACGAUUUUGAACACUUGGAAGGGAUGAAGCGUCGUUUCGAAAUAACGACGCACCCUUCGUCUUAUUUCUAGUUCGAACCGAAUUGGUUAGUUUACGCUACGUUGAAAUCCACGCGCCAUCUGUCUCGAGCAACGGUAAUCAACGAUACCGAAUUUCGCGUCACAGUUCUUAUUAUUAGGAUUAGUACGUAUUGGACAGUCAGCGCGCCAAUCACCGCAGCAACAAUCGCCCACGUGACAAGAGGAGGCGUGGCCAAGACCGACGAUACGAUUUACCAUUGUCGCGAAAUUAUUACGAAUCGUUGAAAUUCGGUGGAACAAAAGUAAAAAGAAAAUUUAUCUUCUUUUUCUUUUCUCUGGAUCCGUGGAUUGAACGCGAUGCGUCCAUGAGAGGGAAGUUGUUGAAUGGACUAGCGACCUGGUGACCUGGAUAUUUCUCGUGGGGAAACGCGUGCUACACUUGAUUCCAGGGGAUCGCGUCUAGCGCUUGUCUGAAGUUUGGGAUAGGUCAGUGAGACGAAGCGACAGAGGACGAAGUAAGUAGUAAACUUUCUUUACAAGACGAUAUUUCGAGAACCGGAAAUCGUAUCGCGAUGAAUCGAAAAACGUUUUGAAGAGUAAAGUUCCACGCUUCUAACGAUCUUUCGCUCGUUAACUGGAAAUCAUUAUUUUUGGAGUUAUGGCGGUUCAAAGUAUUCCUAAUUUUAAUGGUUAUUAAAGUAAACGAUUGAAAAUCCACUUUUCUUUAAAUGAUAUUUUAGGAAUCGGAAAUAAUAUCGUGAUAAAUGAAGAAGCGUUUUAAAGUUCUAUGUUUUUAAUUAUCUUUUAUUCGUUAAUCGGAAGUCAAUAUCUUCGGAGUGGUUCAAAGUUUUCUUCAAAUUUCAAUAAA